rnacentral:rRNA from 1 species
CCUACGGGUGGCAGCAGUGGGGAAUAUUGCACAAUGGGGGAAACCCUGAUGCAGCGACGCCGCGUGAGCGAUGAAGUAUUACGGUAUGUAAAGCUCUAUCAGUAGGGAAGAAAAUGACGGUACCUGACUAAGAAGCCCCGGCUAACUACGGGCCAGCAGCAGUGGGAAUACGUAGGGGGCAAGCGUUAUACGGAUUUACUGGGGGUAAAGGGAGCGUAGGCGGCAGAGCAAGUCUGAAGUGAAACGCCGCGGCCCAACUGCGGGACUGCUUUGGAAACUGCCGGGCUAGAGUGCUGGAGAGGUAAGCGGAAUUCGUAGUGUAGCGGUGAAAUGCUUAGAUAUUAGGAGGAACACCGGUGGCGAAGGCAGCUUACUGGACAGUAACUGACGUUGAGGCUCGAAAGCGUGGGGAGCAAACAGGAUUAGAUACCCGGGUAGUC